UACGGGGGGAGCAAACGUUGUUCGGAAUCACUGGGCGUAAAGGGCGUGUAGGCGGCUGAAUAAGUGGGAUGUUAAAUCCCCCGGCUCAACCGGGGACCUGCAUCUCAUACUGUUCAGCUCGAGCACAUCAGGGGAGACUGGAAUUCCCGGUGUAGAGGUGAAAUUCGUAGAGAUCGGGAGGAACACCAGUGGCGAAGGCGACUACCUGGCUGACAACUGACGCUGAGACUCGAAAGCAUGGGGAGCAAACAGG
rnacentral:rRNA from 1 species